UAUAUUCUCUGAAAGGCUCUGUCAAUAUCAUGAUGAAGAAAUUGUGAUCAGUAUAUUUUCCUUUCAUAUUUUUUUAGACAUUCACACUUAUUAGAGUGCUUCACAUCUUGCAAGUGCAUCCUAUAUGAUUCAGAUUGCUAUACAUAUCAAUCAUUGGAGAAAUGGUUACUUAUUUGCAUAGAAUACCAAGGAUGCUGGGCGCCGCACUUCUCCAUGGCCAGCUGCAUCAUCAUCAUCGACGGGCUCGUGGUUUGGCCGGGGAGCGGGUCCUGAUCAACGCCUGGCCAUCAUCCUGGAAGGGGCGACAUUGUUAAUUUGGAUUUCAGGUCAUGAAGGGAAGCAAAUGUGCAGUCAUUAUUGGUGAAUUGCUUGUGAUGUAGUGCAAAUGCACAAACAUCAUAUCAUAGUCUCCAGAUUAGAAUUAAUUGCUUGCAAGAUCCAAAUUAGUAUGAUCAUUGCAUUUGCAGCUCAUAUGGUUGUGUCCAGAGAAUACAAAUACUUCAAAUUGUAAUGGAUAAGUAAACCAGAUUAGGUUGCUUUUGUACAGAACUAUGACACAAAAUAGC